ensembl:snRNA U6 U6 spliceosomal RNA
GUGCUCAGUUCAGCAGCACAUGCACUAAAAUUGGAACAAUGGAGAAGUUUUAACACAGCCUCUGCUCAAGAAUGACAUGCAGAUUUGCAAAGCAUUCCGUAUUUUA